AUGGAGCUCGCGGAGGCCGUCCAAUCCGACACCUCCUUCGGAAUGCGCGUGCUCCAGCACCUCACGGCCAAGUGCGACGCCGACGGCAAGAACCUCGCUGUGUCCCCGCUCUCCAUCCACGCCGCACUGGCGCUCCUCGGCGCGGGCGCCACGCUCGACGAGAUCGUCACCCUCCUUGGCCCCGCCGGCGGCCGCGCCCGCGCGCUGCUCGCCUCGCAUGUCGCCAUGCACGUGUUCGCCAACAGCAGCGACGGCGACAGCGGGCCGAAGGUGCAGUUCGCCAACACCGUCUGGGUCGACGCCGCGGCGGCGCCCCUGAAGAGUUUGCGCUGCCACCCCAAACCCUACCGUGGUCAGAAAGAAACCCUAAAAUUUUCUUCACAGCCGGAGGAAGCGAGGCGCGAGAUCAACCAGUGGUUCGAGGCGGCGACGGCGGGCCGGAUCAAGGAAUUCCUGCCUCAGGGGCUCAGGGCUCCGUGGGGUAUGACACGGCGGCCAUCCUCGGGAACGCGCUCUACUUCAAGGGCGUAUGAGAGAGCACGUUCGACGCCCGGCUCAGGCGGCAUGACGCCUUCUUCUACCUGCAGCCCGCCGGCGGCGAGGGCCAAGUCCGCGUGCCGUUCAUGUCGAGCGGCGAGCGGCAGUACAUCGCCUGCCGUCCCGACUACAAGGUCCUGA
rnacentral:rRNA from 1 species